CCUCGGAUCAGGUAGGAAUACCCGCUGAACUUAAGCAUAUCAAUAAGCGGAGGAAAAGAAACCAACAGGGAUUGCCUCAGUAACGGCGAGUGAAGCGGCAACAGCUCAAAUUUGAAAUCUGGCGCCUUCGGCGUCCGAGUUGUAAUUUGUAGAGGAUGCUAUUGGGUUGCCACCGGUCUAAGUUCCUUGGAACAGGACGUCACAGAGGGUGAGAAUCCCGUAUGUGACCGGCCAGGCGCCCUAUGUAUAGCUCCUUCGACGAGUCGGGUUGUUUGGGAAUGCAGCCCUAAAUGGGAGGUAAAUUUCUUCUAAAGCUAAAUACCGGCCAGAGACCGAUAGCGCACAAGUAGAGUGAUCGAAAGAUGAAAAGCACUUUGGAAAGAGAGUUAAAAAGCACGUGAAAUUGUUGAAAGGGAAGCGCUUGCAAUCAGUCUCGACGGCGGCUGUUCGGCCUCUCUUCUGAGUGGUUUAUUCAGUCGCCGCCGGGCCAGCAUCAGUUUCGGCGGUCGGAUAAAGGCGGAGGGAAUGUAGCUCCCCUCGGGGAGUGUUAUAGCCCUCCGCGCAAUACGGCCUGCCGGGACUGAGGUCCGCGCUUCGGCUAGGAUGCUGGCGAAAUGGUUGUAAGCGGCCCGUCUUGAAACACGGACCAAGGAGUCUAACAUCUAUGCGAGUGUUUGGGUGUCAAACCCGUGCGCGUAAUGAAAGUGAACGGAGGUGGGAACCGCAAGGUGCACCAUCGACCGAUCCUGAUGUCUUCGGAUGGAUUUGAGUAAGAGCAUAGCUGUUGGGACCCGAAAGAUGGUGAACUAUGCCUGAAUAGGGUGAAGCCAGAGGAAACUCUGGUGGAGGCUCGCAGCGGUUCUGACGUGCAAAUCGAUCGUCAAAUUUGGGUAUAGGGGCGAAAGACUAAUCGAACCAUUGGGACGACCCCCCGCCAGGCAGGCGGGGGGGCUACUAGGUGGUUAAGAGGCAGCUAAAAGUGCGUGCCUAGUCCCUCCGUUCGGGGCUACACUGUCAAAUUGCGGGGACACCCUUAGAGCUCGAACUACCGCGGCUGAGUCGAAAGUGCUCCAGCGCAGCACCGGGUUAAUGCCCCCGGGUAUGGUAACAACGUUCGAGAUUGGGCGAUCCGCAGCGAAGCCCUAAAGGCACCGCCUAUGGGUAGCGUUCACAGACUAGAUGGCAGUGGGUGGGGUCCCCCGUGACGGGGUCCCUGCUUAAGAUAUAGUCGGGCCCCCGCCGAAAGGCGGGCUGGAGAGCUAAACCCACGCGUGGACGAAGGUCGGCGUGCCGCAUGCGGCACC
rnacentral:rRNA from 1 species